UCAGAUUGAACGCUGGCGGCAUGCCUUACACAUGCUAGUCGAACGGCAGCACGGGAGCAAUCCUGGUGGCGAGUGGCGAACGGGUGAGUAAUAUAUCGGAACGUGCCCAGUAGUGGGGGAUAGCCCGGCGAAAGCCGGAUUAAUACCGCAUACGACCUACGGGUGAAAGCGGGGGAUCGCAAGACCUCGCGCUAUUGGAGCGGCCGAUAUCGGAUUAGCUAGUUGGUGGGGUAAAGGCCUACCAAGGCUACGAUCCGUAGCUGGUCUGAGAGGACGACCAGCCACACUGGGACUGAGACACGGCCCAGACUCCUACGGGAGGCAGCAGUGGGGAAUUUUGGACAAUGGGCGCAAGCCUGAUCCAGCCAUGCCGCGUGCGGGAAGAAGGCCUUCGGGUUGUAAACCGCUUUUGUCAGGGAAGAAACGCUCUGGGCUAAUACCCUGGAGUAAUGACGGUACCUGAAGAAUAAGCACCGGCUAACUACGUGCCAGCAGCCGCGGUAAUACGUAGGGUGCAAGCGUUAAUCGGAAUUACUGGGCGUAAAGCGUGCGCAGGCGGCUAUGCAAGAAAGAUGUGAAAAUCCCCGGGCUUUACCUGGGAACUGCAUUUGUGACUGGCAUAGCU
rnacentral:rRNA from 1 species